rnacentral:rRNA from 1 species
ACUGAACGCUGGCGGCAUGCCUUACACAUGCAAGUCGAACGGUAACAGGCCGCAAGGUGCUGACGAGUGGCGAACGGGUGAGUAAUGCAUCGGAACGUGCCCAGUAGUGGGGGAUAGCCCGGCGAAAGCCGGAUUAAUACCGCAUACGACCUGAGGGUGAAAGGGGGGGAUCGCAAGACCUCUCGCUAUUGGAGCGGCCGAUGUCAGAUUAGCUAGUUGGUGGGGUAAAGGCCUACCAAGGCAACGAUCUGUAGUUGGUCUGAGAGGACGACCAGCCACACUGGGACUGAGACACGGCCCAGACUCCUACGGGAGGCAGCAGUGGGGAAUUUUGGACAAUGGGCGCAAGCCUGAUCCAGCAAUGCCGCGUGCAGGAAGAAGGCCUUCGGGUUGUAAACUGCUUUUGUCAGGGAAGAAAUCUUCUGGGUUAAUACCUCGGGAGGAUGACGGUACCUGAAGAAUAAGCACCGGCUAACUACGUGCCAGCCGCCGCGGUAAAAC